rnacentral:rRNA from 1 species
AUUGAACGCUGGCGGAAUGCUUUACACAUGCAAGUCGAACGGCAGCACGGGUGCUUGCACCUGGUGGCGAGUGGCGAACGGGUGAGUAACAUAUCGGAACGUACCCAGUAAUGGGGGAUAACUAACCGAAAGGUUAGCUAAUACCGCAUACGCCCUGAGGGGGAAAGCGGGGGAUCGAAAGACCUCGCGUUAUUGGAGCGGCCGAUAUCUGAUUAGCUAGUUGGUGAGGUAAAGGCUCACCAAGGCGACGAUCAGUAGCAGGUCUGAGAGGAUGAUCUGCCACAAUGGAACUGAGACACGGUCCAGACUCCUACGGGAGGCAGCAGUGGGGAAUUUUGGACAAUGGGGGAAACCCUGAUCCAGCCAUUCCGCGUGAGUGAAGAAGGCCUUCGGGUUGUAAAGCUCUUUCGGCAGGGAAGAAACGGUUCUGGAUAAUACCCGGAGCUAAUGACGGUACCUGAAGAAGAAGCACCGGCUAACUACGUGCCAGCAGCCGCCGUAA